rnacentral:rRNA from 1 species
GUCUGGGAAGUCAGACCAAAGAGAGUGAAAGUCUCGUACAUGAAACCAGAAGGGAGCUAGUGGGAUCCAGAGUACUGCGAGACACGUGGAACCUUGCAGGAAGUCGGGGGGACCACCCCCCAAGGCUAAAUACUCCUUAGUGACCGAUAGCGCAUAGUACUGUGAAGGAAAGGUGAAAAGGACCCCGGGAGGGGAGUGAAAGAGAACCUGAAACCCUGUGUUUACAAGCUGUGGAAGCACGUUAAGGUGCAACCGCGUACUUUUUGUAGAACGGUCCGGCGAGUUGCGGAUGCUGGCAAGGUUAAGCACUGAAGGUGCGGAGCCGAAGCGAGAGCAAGUCUGAAUAGGGCGUCAAGUCAGCAUGUGCAGACCCGAAACCGGGUGAUCUAUCCAUGUCCAGGUUGAAGCGAAAGUAAAAUUUCGUGGAGGACCGAACGCACAUCCGUUGAAAAGGGUGGCGAUGAGGUGUGGAUAGGGGAGAAAUUCCAAUCGAACCCGGAGAUAGCUGGUUCUCCUCGAAAUAGCUUUAGGGCUAGCCUCGUAUUAGUCUGGUGGAGGUAGAGCACUGAAUUUCCUAGGGGGCGUCAAAGCCUACCGAAGAAUAUCAAACUCCGAAUGCCAUACAGAUGAUGUACGGGAGUCAGACGGCACGAGAUAAGUUGGGUCGUCAAAAGGGAAAGAGCCCAGACCUGCAGCUAAGGUCCCAAAGUGUGUGUUAAGUGGAAAAGGAUGUGGGAUUUCAAAGACAACUAGGAUGUUGGCUCAGAAGCAGCCACACAUUCAAAGAGUGCGUAAUAGCUCACUAGUCGAGAGGUCCUGCGCCGAAAAUGUCCGGGGCUGAAACACAACACCGAAGCUCAGGAAUGUAUUUAUACAUUGGUAGAGGAGCAUUCUUAAAGGGGCGAAGCAGUACCGAUAAGGAGCUGUGGACUUUUAAGAAGAGAGAAUGCCGGAAUGAGUAGCGAGAUGGAGGUGGGAAUCCUCCAGGCCGAAUAUCUAAGGUUUCCAGGGUAAAGCUGAUCUGCCCUGGGUAAGUCGGGGCCUAAGGCAAGGCUGAGAAGCGUAGCUGAUGGACAACAGGUUUAGAUUCCUGUACCACAUGGUAUCAGAACUGUGGGGACGCAGAGGGAUAAGAUGACCGGGGAACAGAUUCCCGGGCAAGCGCAGGAGGUGUCAGGCAGGCAAAUCCGUCUGACAAGCCAAAGGCGUGACGCGGACCGAACGAAAGUAGGGAAGCAUCCGAUUCCAGCUGCCGAGAAAAGCCG